rnacentral:rRNA from 1 species
UACGGAGGGUGCAAGCGUUGUCCGGAUUUAUUGGGUUUAAAGGGUGCGUAGGCGGGCUAUUAAGUCAGUGGUGAAAUACUACGGCUCAACUGUAGAAUUGCCAUUGAUACUGAUGGUCUUGAAUGUACGCGAGGUGGUUGGAAUAUGUGGUGUAGCGGUGAAAUGCUUAGAUAUCACAUAGAACGCCGAUUGCGAAGGCAGAUCACUGGUGUACAAUUGACGCUGAGGCACGAAAGCGUGGGGAGCGAACAGG